GUUGACCUCGGAUCAGGUAGGGAUACCCGCUGAACUUAAGCAUAUCAAUAAGACGGAGGA
rnacentral:rRNA from 1 species